CGGCGGACGGGUGAGUAACGCGUGGGUAACCUACCCUGUACACACGGAUAACAUACCGAAAGGUAUGCUAAUACGGGAUAAUAUAUUUGAGAGGCAUCUCUUGAAUAUCAAAGGUGAGCCAGUACAGGAUGGACCCGCGUCUGAUUAGCUAGUUGGUAAGGUAACGGCUUACCAGGGCGACGAUCAGUAGCCGACCUGAGAGGGUGAUCGGCCACAUUGGAACUGAGACACGGUCCAA
rnacentral:rRNA from 1 species